CGUGUCAACGAUACCGGACCGAGCCCGAAAGGGAUAGGGAGGAUAAGGAGUUGAUACGUCCACUACA
rnacentral:ncRNA from 1 species